UCGCGAGAGCUAGCAAAUCCCAUAAACCGUGGCUCAGUUCAGAUCGUAGGCUGCAACUCGCCUACGUGAAGGAGGAAUCGCUAGUAAUCGCAGGUCAGCAUACUGCGGUGAAUACGUUCCCGGGCCUUGUACACACCGCCCGUCACACCAUGGAAGUUGGCCACGCCCGAAGCCGUUACUCCAACCCUUGUGGAGGAGGACGUCGAAGGUGGGGCUGAUGACUGGGGUGAAGUCGUAACAAGGUAGCCGUACCGGAAGGUGCGGCUGGAUCACCUCCUAACA
rnacentral:rRNA from 1 species